UGGGGAAUCUUCCGCAAUGGACGAAAGUCUGACGGAGCAACGCCGCGUGAACGAAGAAGGUCUUCGGAUUGUAAAGUUCUGUGAUUCGGGACGAAAGGGUUUGUGGUGAAUAAUCAUAGACAUUGACGGUACCGAAAAAGCAAGCCACGGCUAACUACGUGCCAGCAGCCGCGGUAAUACGUAGGUGGCAAGCGUUGUCCGGAAUUAUUGGGCGUAAAGCGCGCGCAGGCGGUUUCUUAAGUCCAUCUUAAAAGCGUGGGGCUCAACCCCAUGAGGGGAUGGAAACUGGGAAGCUGGAGUAUCGGAGAGGAAAGUGGAAUUCCUAGUGUAGCGGUGAAAUGCGUAGAGAUUAGGAAGAACACCGGUGGCGAAGGCGACUUUCUAGACGAAAACUGACGCUGAGGCGCGAAAGCGUGGGGAGCAAACAGGAUUAGAUACCCUGGUA
rnacentral:rRNA from 1 species